CGCUAGUAAUCGCGCAUCAGCCACGGCGCGGUGAAUACGUUCCCGGGCCUUGUACACACCGCCCGUCAAGCCAUGGAAGCCGGGAGUGCCUGAAGUGCGUGACCGCAUGGAGCGUCCUAAGGCAAUACCGGUGACUGGGGCUAAGUCGUAACAAGGUAGC
rnacentral:rRNA from 1 species